AGGCUUUGAUCCUGGCUCAGAUUGAACGCUAGCGGGAUGCUUUACACAUGCAAGUCGAACGGCAGCGCGGACUUCGGUCUGGCGGCGAGUGGCGAACGGGUGAGUAAUGUAUCGGAACGUGCCCAGUAGCGGGGGAUAACUACUCGAAAGAGUAGCUAAUACCGCAUACGCCCUAAGGGGGAAAGGGGGGGAUCUUAUGACCUCUCACUAUUGGAGCGGCCGAUAUCGGAUUAGCUAGUUGGUGGGGUAAAGGCCUACCAAGGCUGCGAUCCGUAGCUGGUUUGAGAGGACGACCAGCCACACUGGGACUGAGACACGGCCCAGACUCCUACGGGAGGCAGCAGUGGGGAAUUUUGGACAAUGGGGGCAACCCUGACCCAGCCAUCCCGCGUGUGCGAUGAAGGCCUUCGGGUUGUAAAGCACUUUUGGCAGGAAAGAAAUCGCGCGGGCUAAUACCUCGCGUGGAUGACGGUAC
rnacentral:rRNA from 1 species